rnacentral:rRNA from 1 species
UUAUACCGUGAAACUGCGAAUGGCUCAUUAAAUCAGUUAUCGUUUAUUUGAUAGUACCUUACUACUUGGAUAACCGUGGUAAUUCUAGAGCUAAUACAUGCUAAAAACCCCGACUUCGGGAGGGGUGUAUUUAUUAGAUAAAAAACCAAUGCCCUUCUGGGCUCUUUGGUGAUUCAUGAUAACUUAACGGAUCGCAUGGCCUUGCGCCGGCGACGGUUCAUUCAAAUUUCUGCCCUAUCAACUUUCGAUGGUAAGGUAUUGGCUUACCAUGGUUUCAACGGGUAACGGGGAAUUAGGGUUCGAUUCCGGAGAGGGAGCCUGAGAAACGGCUACCACAUCCAAGGAAGGCAGCAGGCGCGCAAAUUACCCAAUCCCGACACGGGGAGGUAGUGACAAUAAAUACUGAUACAGGGCUCUUUUGGGUCUUGUAAUCGGAAUGAGUACAAUUUAAACCCCUUAACGAGGAACAAUUGGAGGGCAAGUCUGGUGCCAGCAGCCGCGGUAAUUCCAGCUCCAAUAGCGUAUAUUAAAGUUGUUGCAGUUAAAAAGCUCGUAGUUGAACCUUGGGCCUGGCUGGCCGGUCCGCCUCACCGCGUGUACUGGUCCGGCCGGGCCUUUCCUUCUGGAGAGCCGCAUGCCCUUCACUGGGUGUGUCGGGGAACCAGGACUUUUACUUUGAAAAAAUUAGAGUGUUCAAAGCAGGCCUUUGCUCGAAUACGUUAGCAUGGAAUAAUAGAAUAGGACGUGCGGUCCUAUUUUGUUGGUUUCUAGGACCGCCGUAAUGAUUAAUAGGGAUAGUCGGGGGCAUCAGUAUUCAAUUGUCAGAGGUGAAAUUCUUGGAUUUAUUGAAGACUAACUACUGCGAAAGCAUUUGCCAAGGAUGUUUUCAUUAAUCAGUGAACGAAAGUUAGGGGAUCGAAGACGAUCAGAUACCGUCGUAGUCUUAACCGUAAACUAUGCCGACUAGGGAUCGGGCGAUGUUUCUAUCUUGACUCGCUCGGCACCUUACGAGAAAUCAAAGUUU